ACAGAGGGGGCGAGCGUUGUUCGGAAUUACUGGGCGUAAAGGGCGCGUAGGCGGCUUGCUAAGUCGGACGUGAAAUCCCCAGGCUCAACCUGGGAACUGCGUCCGAUACUGGCGAGCUUGAAUCCGGGAGGGGGAUGCGGAAUUCCAGGUGUAGCGGUGAAAUGCGUAGAUAUCUGGAGGAACACCGGUGGCGAAGGCGGCAUCCUGGACCGGUAUUGACGCUGAGGCGCGAAAGCCAGGGGAGCAAACGGGA
rnacentral:rRNA from 1 species